GCCGGGAUGGCGAAAUUGGCAAACGCACGGGACUUAAAAUCCCGCGACCGUAAGGUUUUGUGGGUUCAACUCCCUCUCCCGGCA
rnacentral:tRNA from 1 species